GUUGUUUCGGCAAUAUGGGGGUUGUAGGACCGCGACAUUUGAUGUGCGAUGAAUCAGAAUCCUUUGGAAAGAGGAACCAUAGAGGGUGAUAGUCCCGUAAGAGCAAAGACCAUUAUCGAUAGCGGUAUCCUGAGUAGUGCGGGGCACGUGAAACCCUGUAUGAAUCCGGCGGGACCAUCCGCCAAGACUAAAUACUCCUGAGAGACCGAUAGUGAACCAGUACCGUGAGGGAAAGGUGAAAAGAACCCUGAACAAGGGAGUGAAAAAGAUCCUGAAACCAUACGCCUACAAGCGGUCGGAGCCCUUUGGGGUGACGGCGUGCCUUUUGCAUAAUGAGCCUACGAGUUACUUUUACUGGCAAGGUUAAGCACUUCAGGUGCGGAUCCGUAGCGAAAGCGAGUCUGAAUAGGGCGCCAUAGUCAGUAGUAGUAGACGCGAAACCGUGUGAUCUACCCAUGGGCAGGUUGAAGCAGUGGUAACACACUGUGGAGGACCGAACCCGUUGACGUUGAAAAGUCUUGGGAUGACCUGUGGGUAGGGGUGAAAGGCCAAUCAAACUCGGAAAUAGCUCGUACUCCCCGAAAUGCAUUUAGGUGCAGCGUAUACAUAGUUUUAUAGAGGUAGAGCUACUGAUUGGAUGCGGGGGCUUCACCGCCUACCAAUUCCUGACAAACUCCGAAUGCUAUAAAAUGUUUGUGUGCAGUGAGGGCAUGGGUGCUAAGGUCCAUGUCCGAGAGGGAAAGAACCCAGAUCACCAGCUAAGGUCCCAAAGUAUAUGCUAAGUUGAUAUAACGCGGUGGAACUGCAUUGACAGCCAGGAUGUUGGCUUGGAAGCAGCCAUUCAUUUAAAGAGUGCGUAACAGCUCACUGGUCGAGCGGUUCCGCAUGGAUAAUAAUCGGGCAUAAGCAUAUCACCGAAGCUGUGACUUCUAUUUAUAGAGGGGUAGGGGAGCAUUCCAGGGGUGUUGAAGGUGGCCUGCGAGGUCCACUGGAACGCCUGGAAACGAAAAUGUAGGCAUAAGUAACGAUAAUGCGGGCGAGAAACCCGCACGCCGAAAGACCAAGGUUUCCCCAGCUAUGCUAAUCAGCUGGGGGUCAGUCGGGACCUAACACGAACCCGAAGGGGGUAGUGGAUGGACAACAGAUUAAUAUUUCUGUACCUGCUCACGCUAAAAGUGACGGGGAUGUGGCGUUGGUGCGUACUGACGGAAUAGUACGUUGAAGGGAGCGGUGACGCCCCGAUAGUACACUGCGGCUUCGGCCAAGGUGAUAAUCCAGUUUAACAUCCUCCGAGAAAACCAAGUGAAGCAGCCCGUACCGCAAACCGACACAGGUGGUUGGGAUGAGUAUUCUAAGGCGCUCGAGAGAUUCAUGGCUAAGGAACUAGGCAAAAUAGACGCGUAACUUCGGGAGAAGCGUCGCCCUCCUUUACAGGAGGGCCGCAGUGAAAGAGUCCAGGCGACUGUUUAUCAAAAACACAGAGCUCUGCAAAAUCGUGAGAUGACGUAUAGGGCUUGACACCUGCCCGGUGCUGGAAGGUUAAGAGGAGAUGUCAUUCCUUCGGGGAGAAGCAUUGAAUUGAAGCCCCAGUAAACGGCGGCCGUAACUAUAACGGUCCUAAGGUAGCGAAAUUCCUUGUCGGGUAAGUUCCGACCUGCACGAAUGGUGCAACGAUCUGGACACUGUCUCAGCCAUGAGCUCGGUGAAAUUGUAGUAUCGGUGAAGAUGCCGGUUACCCGCAGUGGGACGAAAAGACCCCGUGCACCUUUACUAUAGCUUCGUAUUGACCCUGGGCAACCAAUGUGUAGGAUAGCUGGGAGACUUUGAAGCUGCGCCGCCAGGCGUGGUGGAGUCGCCGUUGAAAUACCAGCCUUUGUUUGUCCGGGGCCUAACUCCC
rnacentral:rRNA from 1 species